AGCGAACGCUGGCGGCAGGCUUAACACAUGCAAGUCGAACGGUCCUUCGGGAUAGUGGCGGACGGGUGAGUAACACGUGGGAACGUACCCUUAGGUUCGGAACAACACAGGGAAACUUGUGCUAAUACCGGAUAAGCCCUUCGGGGGAAAGAUUUAUCGGCUUUGGAGCGGCCCGCGUUUGAUUAGCUUGUUGGUGAGGUAAUGGUUCACCAAGGCUACUAUCAGUAGCUGGUCUGAGAGGACGGCCCGUCACACUGGGACUGAGACGCGGCCCAGACUCCUACGGGUGGCAGCAGUGGUGAAUCUUGCGCACUGGGCGAAAGCCUGACGCAGCCAUGCCGCGUGGAUGAUGAAGGUCUUAGGAUUGUAAAAUCCUUUCACCGGGGACGAUAAUGGCGGUACCCGGAGAAGAAGCCCCGGCUAACUUCUUGCCAGCAGCCGCCGUAA
rnacentral:rRNA from 1 species